GCUGAGGUGGCGGAGCGGUCAAUCGCAAGAGACUGUAAAUCUCUCGUCCGGAAGGACUACUCAGGUUCGAAUCCUGACCUCAGCACCC
rnacentral:tRNA from 4 species